UCCGCUGUGUGUGACGUGGCGGCUAGACCUCCGCGUCACGGAUGACGUCAUGCCCACAGGCUCCGGGGAAAGCAGGUUCCCGCUGCUGUACGUCUACGUCGCCGUGGUGCUGCUGACCGUGUUCUGUGCCCUGGGCCUGGGCUUCGCCUGUAAGAGGGUCGUCCACGCGAGAAGCCUGUUCCCCCCAAUCCCCCAGAUCAAGGACAAAGUUACCGAUAGCGACGCGGCUGACCCGCAGACACUGAGCAACUUCGAGCCCAGUGUGCAGAAGGCUGAGCCCGAGGAGUUCACGUCCGUAGAGGAAGUCAGGACCUGAGGCGGGCGUGCACCACAGGGUUGGGCCAUGCGCAUUAAAAAGUAACUUAACACCCGCGUGUACACUGGCUUUCUGGAGGCUGAUGUGUUCUGGGGUCGGUCACAGCUCCACCCAGGUGCAUUCUGGGAAAUCCUCAGCUACACGUACCAAGCGUGACGUCAUCUGUGGCACGCCCAGAGCUCGGGUCCGUUUUGCACACCGCCCUCUCCGUGGGCUGCCGUGGCCGUCCUCAUGCGACUGGUGACGUGUACACGCCAUACACUGGUGACGUGUACACGCCGCACGCCUGCUUCGGGGCAACACCGGGAAGCUGCGUCCAGGGUGGUCGAGCUCAAGACCCUGCACUCAGCCCAGCUGGCAGACUCCCUGGUCCCAGGUGACGUCACAGGCCCUGGUCCCAGGCGAUAUCAUAGGUCCUGAUGCUAAGCUGAUAUCAUAACCCUGCUCACUAAUGACGCCAUAAGCCCUGGUUCCAGACGAUGUCCCUGCCCCAAAUGACGUCAUAGGCCCUGUUUCCACGUGGUGUCAUGGACCCCCCCCCCU
rnacentral:lncRNA from 1 species